rnacentral:rRNA from 1 species
GGACGAACGCUGGCGGCGUGCCUAAUCCAUGCAAGUAGAACGCACAGUUUAUACCGUAGCUUGCUACACCAUAGACUGUGAGUUGCGAACGGGUGAGUAACGCGUAGUUAACCUGCCUGGUAGCGGGGGAUAACUAUUGGAAACGAUAGCUAAUACCGCAUAAUCUUAAUUAUUGCAUGAUAAUUAAUUGAAAGGUGCAAUUGCACCACUACCAGAUGGACCUGCGUUGUAUUAGCUAGUAGGUGAGGUAACGGCUCACCUAGGCGACGAUACAUAGCCGACCUGAGAGGGUGGUCGGCCACCAUGGGACUGAGACACGGCCCAGACGCCUACGGGAGGCAGCAGUAGGGAAUCUUCGGCAAUGGACGAAAGUCUGACCGAGCAACGCCGCGUGAGUGAAGAAGGGUGUCGGAUCAUAAAGCUCUGUUGUAAGGGAAGAACGGGUGUGAGAGUGGAAAGUUCACAGUGUGACGGUAGCUGAUCAGAAAGGGACGGCUAACUACGUG